rnacentral:piRNA from 1 species
AGCGGGGCGGCUGUGAGCUGAGCU